GUCUUUUUGAGUAUAAUUUAAAGUCUGACCUGCCCAAUGAGUAUUUGAAUGGCCGCGGUAAUUUGACCGUGCAAAGGUAGCAUAAUCAUUAGUUUUUUAAUUGAAAGCUGGAAUGAACGGUUGGACGAGAAAAUAACUGUCUCAAUUUAAUUGAAUAUAGAAUUUUAUAUGUAAGUAAAAAAGCUUACAUGAUUUUAAAAGACGAGAAGACCCUAUAGAGUUUUAUAUUUUACUAUAUUAAUUAUUUUUAGUAUGUUUAUAUUUUUGAUAUAGUAAUAUAUUUUGCUGGGGCAGCAGAAAAAUUAGAUAAACUUUUUUUUAUUAAUAAAACAUUGAUUUAUGAUUGUAUGAUCCAUUUUUUAUGAUUAUAAGAUUAAAUUACCUUAGGGAUAACAGCGUAAUUUUUUUUUAGAGUUCUUAUCGAAAAAAGAGUUUGCGACCUCGAUGUUGGAUUAAAAUUAACUUUUGGUGUAGGGGCUAAAAGGUUAGGUCUGUUCGACCUUUAAAAUUUUACA
rnacentral:rRNA from 1 species